UCCCAGGACAGAGAGUGCACAAACUCUGGAGGCUGAAGAGGGAUUCCAGCCCCUGCCACCCACAGACACGGGCUGACUGGGGUGUCUGCCCCCCUUGGGGGGGGGCAGCACAGGGCCUCAGGCCUGGGUGCCACCUGGCACCUAGAAGAUGCCUGUGCCCUGGUUCUUGCUGUCCUUGGCACUGGGCCGAAGCCCAGUGGUCCUUUCUCUGGAGAGGCUUGUGGGGUCUCAGGACGCUACCCACUGCUCUCCGGGCCUCUCCUGCCACCUCUGGGACAGUGACAUACUCUGCCUGCCUGGGGACAUCGUGCCUGCUCCGGGCCCCGUGCUGGCGCCUACGCACCUGCAGACAGAGCUGGUGCUGAGGUGCCAGAAGGAGACCGACUGUGACCUCUGUCUGCGUGUGGCUGUCCACUUGGCCGUGCAUGCCUCUCUCCAGGCCCAAGUCGUGCUCUCCUUCCAGGCCUACCCUACUGCCCGCUGCGUCCUGCUGGAGGUGCAAGUGCCUGCUGCCCUUGUGCAGUUUGGUCAGUCUGUGGGCUCUGUGGUAUAUGACUGCUUCGAGGCUGCCCUAGGGAGUGAGGUACGAAUCUGGUCCUAUACUCAGCCCAGGUACGAGAAGGAACUCAACCACACACAGCAGCUGCCUGCCCUGCCCUGGCUCAACGUGUCAGCAGAUGGUGACAACGUGCAUCUGGUUCUGAAUGUCUCUGAGGAGCAGCACUUCGGCCUCUCCCUGUAUUGGAAUCAGGUCCAGGGCCCCCCAAAACCCCGGUGGCACAAAAACCUGGUGAGGCCUCCCCCUUCCCAAGUCCAUUCCCACUGUAGGCUGAUGCCUGUGCAAAGGAUGCAGUGCCUUAUCAGAGAGGAUCCUUGAAGAGGACUCACCCCAAGCAAGGGAAAAUUGGUGGGGGAACUUUUGCCUUCCUGGUUUCCUUGACUUUGGCCUCCUCCUCUUCCUCCUUAUCUUCUCCAACCUUCUUCCUUUAUUUGUUCCACAGACUGGACCGCAGAUCAUUACCUUGAACCACAC
rnacentral:sRNA from 1 species